CAUCGCCGCGUCAGCCUCGGGGGGCCGGGCGGUCCUCGACUGCCACAUCCUUCUUAUCUCAUACUCCAAUGCGCUCGGUCACUUUGCGAAUCCCCUUCACUCCGAUUCCGAAUAGAUCGGCGGCGGUGUGAUGGCUGCGGUGGUGAAAAGUCUCUUGGAUUUCCUCAUCCAAUUGCUCAACUUUCUCUUCCUCGGUUGCCUGCUCGAAUCGGUCUAGGGUUUCCUUCCCUGACUGCGAUCAUUGGUGAUUAAUCUCUGCGAAAACUCUAGGGCGAUCUGUGAUGCUACAAUCUUCAUUUUUCGUAUGCAUGUACAUAUUUGCGUAGUCUUCUUGUUCUUUGCUAUUGAUUUACCUGGAUUUCAAAGACAUGAUUCAUCUGUUCCCCCCCUUUUCUUGAUAGUGGGGUAAUGGUAUGAGAACGGCAAGCUUGAUCUACUUUUCUUUCUCUGACUUGAUUUCAGGAUUCUUGAUCUUUUUUUUUUCAAAAAAAAGAAAAAUGAUGGAAGUUUAGCAUUUUUCUUGUCCUAAAUUUUAAAAACUAAAUUCAUAUUUAUAUGCGACCGUGGAUUCCCUUUACUCAUGAUAUAUGGGGUAUUUCGGAUCGUAUGUUUUAUGAUUAUUUCUCCUCUCUCCCUCCUCUCGAUCCUUUCUUUCUCGAAAAACCCCAGAAUUCACUUGCUUCCUUGGGCCUGCCACAGCUUUUCAGAAGGUGCCGGAAGAGUCUGCAAGUACAUGCUGUGGUGUUGCAGGUAAAAAACAAUUGAACCAAUUGUCUCCACCUUCUUUCUCCCAUUCAACACUAGGAUACGAGAUUUGGGAGGCAUGUUGAACCAUAUGGAAAAUAUCUUGAUUGUUAGGAUCAGAAGGAAUUUUUACUUCAGUUUAAUUCAAGGCAGGAUGCAUUUAAAACGUGGGAGGCUACCAAUAUGAGGACAAUUCUUUUAUUACAUGUUCAUUCUUCUAUGCAGGAGGCUAUGCUUGAUUACUUAUAUAUCCAUAUCUGUAUCUAUCAAGCUAACAAUAUGCUUUUAUUUCUUCAAGUGAAUUUGGAAACAUAACUCGUGAAUCAGACCAAAGCUGUUUACUUCCCUCCAGCUCCUGCAUGGCAGCAAUGUAAGAAGAAACAUUUCCCUUGUUCAUUCUGCUCUUUCAUAAAAAGGAACGGGGAGAUGCUUGGCCUAUUUGGUUCAUUUUUGUUGAUAAUUGUCGGUGGAAAUCAUAUCUUGCAGCCUGAAAAUUUCAACUAGGAGCUCAUGUUUUUAGGCAUUGAGUAGAAGGGAGCAUGGAGGUGUAGCUCUAUUCAUAGCAUAGAAGUGGGGGAAUUUGGUGUCAUUCUUUGAGCCCGUGUUAACAUUUACCUAACAUUGUAGCUGACCUUGAUGAAGAAGAGGUUGUUAGGGUAUGCAUGGCCUAUAUCUUAAGUUCACAAGUUUCUACUUGCUGUCUUGUAGUGUAAAGGCAAAAGUGAUAUAAGUUUCGACCUAUUUGUGUGAGAGUUGCUGAAAUCAAUCAUAAUUGAAAGAGACAAGGUUGACGUUAUGAAGAUGUCAGAUGGCAACUGAGCUUGAAUUUCUUUAGAAAUUGUUGUCCAACUAAAUUGCCAGAGUUGGUAGAGAAUUGUUCACUUUAUAGUAUUUAUAGUUAGAAUUCAAUUGAUGAGACAUCUUCAUGCAAGUCAACUUUGAGUAUCCUUUGUGCAUCAUGCUUGUCUCUUGCACCUAUGAUGAAAUUGUGUUACAAAUGGAACUCCACUAUUUCUUCUUCUUCUUCUUCUUCUUCUUCUUCUUCUUCUUCUUCUAUUUUUGCUUUUCUGGAAUAUCACGGCCUUGCUUUGGGUUGUGAAUGAGAAAACACAUGUUAAUGUGCUAUGGCUUAUCAAGGUAAUCAUGGAUUUGUGUCAAAUUCAUCACCAUUUUUUCAUGGAUUAAUGGUUCGGCCUCAUAGAUUUACAAUUAUUACGUUUCAACCUUCAAGUCUUGGGAACUUUUUAUGAUACAACAUACUUCUUUUAAUUUUGCAUAAUUCCUAACAAGUUAAUUUAUUUCAUUACUAACACUCAAUGCAGCAGGAACUUGUGUGUCCGGAAUUCCAGGUUUUUAUUUUUCUUCAUUAUAUUUUCUUUAAGCAUGGAGCAAGUUGAUGUAUUGGAUUAUCUUGGUGGAUGUGCUGUUCAUGAUGCUGAAGAAAGAAGAAAUGGCAACCACCUGAACCAUAGAGGUGGGGAUAGGUAAAGAAGUUGAGAUCGUGGAUAAUGUUCAAGACCUUAUGGUAUAGGCAUGGAGAGGGCUAGCCUACCCCAAUUACGUCCAUCAUGGUUCAACCCUAUUUGCCCAGCUCAAGAAGAGGGGUAGUCCUAAUUAUUGAAUACUGGAAAGUUUCUUAACUUAUUUCUGAUUGUCUGCUGCCUCAGGUCUAGCCUACCCCAAUUACGUCCAUCAUGGUUCAACCCUAUUUGCCCGGCUCAAGAAGAGGGGUAGUCCUAAUUAUUGAAUACUGGAAAGUUUCUUAACUUAUUUCUGAUUGUCUGCUGCCUCAGGUUUACUUACUGAAUUUGAAUGUUCUAUCUUGACAUUGUUGGUGAUGAUGCAGUUGUUCACCAUGGAAAGAUCUGAGAUGAAGCUGCUAAAUUGUGCAGAUUCCCGAUAUGUAGCAUUGCUCAGAUUACCAGUCAUUCAGGACCAGAUAUUCAGAGGAAUAUAAUGUUGACUAACAGCUGGAUGGGAAAUGAGAUGUAUUAUUGAAGAGCUUUUAUGCUAUUAUAUCAGCCAUGGAAGGGAACGAGGUACUUGUUCAGCUGUUAUUUAUGGUUUUGGCAUUCUAGCUAUAAUUUCAGGCUUUGCAAAAUCAAGUUGAAAUUUUCAUAUUUUGGGACUUGAGGUAUUUAAGAAAUUGCACUUAGUAAUCUUACCUUUUUGACGAUUAACUAAUUAUGAAAGGCUUAUAAUCACACAAUGGUGCAUUGCGGGGAUGGAAUUUGGGAAUUUUUUUAAUCAGCCAUCGGAAAAAGGCUAAUAAAUUGUCCAAAUGAAUAAAAAUUAUAUUUAAUAUAUGAACGCUGUGCUUCUUCCUUUGAGUUUUGCAAAUUUUCCUGCAACUCAUUGUUUUCAUUUGACCAGAGUGCUAAUGGCACAGUUUGGGUCCUUUUACACAGUUGCUGGCCAGCAAAUGAACUUCUAAGAGACGAUUCGCUCUGAAAUUAUUAUCCAUGUUCAAACCCUGGGGGCCAAUCCUAAACAGCUUAAAAUUUCCUGGCCAUUUCCAUGUCUCUAGUCAUCUGCUCCUUAAUGUGAUUAGAAUACAUCCGGUCCAUUUACCUGGUUGGGUGAUCCUAGCUUCUGGUUUCUGGUUCCUCUUGUGUGCCAACUGUUUUGGCGCAGUUGUUGCAAUUGAGGUUUCCAGAGCCAGUUAAAGUUACACUAAGCCUAUUAGCAUGUUGUUUGCUUUGCAUCAGUUGAUUAACCACUUGGUGAGCAAGUUACUUUAUUUGUGUCGAAUGUAGUUGUUCUGGCUGUUAGCCGUGUGUGCAGAAAGUACAAGGUAGCACUAAUUAAUGCAUGGUUCAGUGGUGUUUAAUCUGUUUCGCCUCAGCAGGUUUUAUCCGCUGUAUGGGUAGGCCACUGCACAGGUUGGUUUUAUGACUUGAGCUAACCUCGUAUCAGUUUUGCAUGAAUUGGUGCUCAUCUAAAGAUCAUAUGGUGGAUGGAAAGGUAUAAUUAUUGUUCAUGUAGCAUAAUUUCAUGUGAACAGGAAUCAAGCUUAAGAACUAGAGAAAUCAGUGAUGUAGUGAACCAUUGAAUAUACGAAAUUGUAUCAUCUCUUAGUAUGGGAACAUCCAUUCAAGACUUUCAGGCAGUCAGGACAUGUUCUUUCUGCUUACAGUCAUGGUAGCUUCUUCAGGAUAACUUUGUCAGUAAUUGGAAAUUUGAUUUUCUUCUUCUAGAAUUAAGGUACCAUAAGCAAAGACAUCUUUGUGAGGUGUUAAUUAUCAUUUUUACUGUGGUAUUGGAAAUGUUGCUGAGAUUA